CCGCAGGGCCUUGUAAACAGUUGUCUUUGGUGGCACGACUGUGCCUCAGCAGGGCUCGGAGCUGGAGCCUGGGGAGAGGUGGUGUCGGUUCUCCUCCAGAUCAGGCCGGUUCUAAGGUUUCCUUCGAGAAUCCUGGUUUCGAAUAUAUCCCUAAAGAACUGUCUCCUAUAGAAGCACUUAAAGGACUUGAAGUCACACCAACCUCUUCACUCUUUUCCAGUCCAACCCGCUGGUCUUCCCAACCCUCUGAUAGUGAAAGGCUAGAAUCGGCUGGCAUUAACAUGCAACGCAGAUAA
rnacentral:lncRNA from 1 species